rnacentral:lncRNA from 1 species
AAGCACUUUAUUUUACAUUUUAAUAUUUUAUGAUGUAUUUAAAUGAGUAGUUAUUGUUGCAAACUCCAUUAGAAAUUUGAAUUGAGAUCAGUUUUGGAAAAAGGGAAAGGGGGAUGUGAAAAAAAAAGGGGGGGUUAAAUUUUUCUCAUUUCAGAUUUCAUAAAUAAAAAGAAAAUUUCUUCAAACAUUUGUUUGAGAGGAUUAAUAUUCAACAGCUUAGUGAAUUGCUCAAAGGCAAAAAAAAUAUUUUAAGUUCAUUAGACCAC